GAUAAACUUACGGUGGCAGAGGGUGCUGUUAUAACUAGGAGUGAUGAAGAAGUUUGGCUUUGUGGUCUUUAUCACAGAAAGCUUUAAGAAUGGCUCCUCAGAAAUUUGGAAGAGAAUUGACACCCUUGAGAAGAUUGUUUACAGGUAGAGACUGCACCAGGUGGGGUCGUCACACAAAGGAAACUUUAUUUGCAGCAAAAAAGGGAGAUCAAGGAGGAUAAUUCCAAAAGCUGGGACUCCCCGAGCAAGGGCAUAGUACUAGAAGUCCUAGCCUCAGCACUCAGACAACAAAAAGAAAUAAAAGGCAUCUGAAUCAGCAAAGAAGUCAAACUCUCACUCUUUGCAGAUGGUAUGAUACUUUAUGUGGAAAACCCAAAAGACUCCACCCCAAAACUGUUAGAACUCAUACAGGAAUUCAGUAAAGUGGCAGGAUAUAAAAUCAAUGCACAGAAAUCAGUUUCAUUUCUGUACACCAAUGACAAGACAGAAGAAAGAGAAAUUAAGGAGUUGAUCCCACUCACAAUAGCACCCCAAACCAUAAGAUACCUAGGAAUAAAUCUAACCAAAGAGGCAAAGAAUCUGUAUGCAGAAAACUAUAGAAUACUCAUGAAAGAAACUGAGGAAGACACAAAGAAAUGGAAAAACAUUCCAUGUUCAUGGAUUGGAAGAACAAAUAUUGUGAAAAUGUCUAUGCUACCUAGAGCAAUCUACACAUUUAAUGCAAUCCCUAUCAAAAUACCAUCAACUUUUUCACAGAAAUGGAACAAAUAAUCCUAAAAUUUGUAUGAAACCAGAAGAGACCCCGAAUAGCCAGAGGAAUGUUGAAAAAGAAAAGCAAAGCUGGUGGCAUCACAAUUCUGGACUUCAAGCUCUAUUACAAAGCUGUCAUCAUCAAGACAGUAUGGUACUGCACAAAAACAGGCACACAGAUCAAUGGAACAGAAUAGAGAGCCCAGAAAUGGACCCUCAACUCUAUGGUCAACUCAUCUUCGACAAAGCAGGAAAGAAUGUCCAAUGGCAAAAAGACAGUCUCUUCAACAAAUGGUGUUGGGAAAAUUGGACAGCCACAUGCAGAAGAAUGAAACUGGACCAUUUUCUUAUACCACACACAAAAAUAGACUCAAAAUAGAUGAAAAACCUAAAUGUGAGACAGGAGGCCAUCAAAAUCCUAAAGGAGAACACAGGCAGCAACCUCUUCGACCUCAGCCGCCGCAACUUCUUCCUAGACACAUCACCAAAGGCAAGGGAAGCAAGGGCAAAAAUGAACUAUUGGGACUUCAUCAAGAUAAAAAGCUUUUGCACAGCCAAAGAAACGGUCAACAAAACCAAAAGACAACUGACAGAAUGGGAGAAGAUAUUUGCAAAUGACAUAUCAGAAAAAGGGCUAGUAUCCAAAAUCUAUAAAGAACUUAUCAAACUCAACACCCAAAGAACAAAUGAUCCAAUCAAGAAAUGGGCAGAAGACAUGACAUUUCUGCAAAGAAGACAUCCAAAUGGCCAACAGACACAUGAAAAAGUGCUCAACAUCACUCAACAUCAGGGACAUACAAAUCAAAACCUCAAUGAGAUACCACCUCACACCAGUCAGAAUGGCUAAAAUUAACAAGUCAAGAAACGACAGAUGUUGGCGAGGAUGAGGAAAAAGGGGAACCCUCCUACACUGUUGGUGGGAAUGCAAGCUGGUGCAGCCACUCUGGAAAAUAGUAUGGAGGUUCCUCAAAAAGUUGAAAAUAGAGCUACUUUAUGACCCAGCAAUUGCACACUGGGUGUUCACCCCAAAGAUACAAAUAUAGUGAUCCGAAGGGGCACGUGCACCCUAAUGCUUAUAGCAGCAAUGUCCACAAUUGUCAAACUAUGGAAAGAGCCAAGAUGUCCAUCAACAGAUGAAUGGAUAAAGAAGACGUGAUACACACACACACACACACACACACACUGGAAUAUUAUGUAGCCAUCAAAAAAUGAAAUCUUGCCAUUUGCAACAACAUGGAUGGAACUAGAGGGUAUUAUACUAAGCGAAAUAAGUCCAUCAGAGAAAGACAAUUAUUAUAUGAUCUCACUGAUAUGUUGAAUUUGAGAAACAAGGCAGAGGAUCAUAGGGGAAGAGAGGAUAAAAUGAAACAAGACAAAACUGGAGAGGGAGACAAACCAUAAGAGACUCUUAAUCUCAGGAAACAAACUGAGGGUUGC